rnacentral:rRNA from 1 species
AUUGAACGCUGGCGGCAUGCCUUACACAUGCAAGUCGAACGGUAACAGGUCUUCGGAUGCUGACGAGUGGCGAACGGGUGAGUAAUACAUCGGAACGUGCCCGAUCGUGGGGGAUAACGGAGCGAAAGCUUUGCUAAUACCGCAUACGAUCUACGGGUGAAAGCAGGGGACCGCAAGGCCUUGCGCGGACGGAGCGGCCGAUGGCAGAUUAGGUAGUUGGUGGGAUAAAAGCUUACCAAGCCGACGAUCUGUAGCUGGUCUGAGAGGACGACCAGCCACACUGGGACUGAGACACGGCCCAGACUCCUACGGGAGGCAGCAGUGGGGAAUUUUGGACAAUGGGCGAAAGCCUGAUCCAGCCAUGCCGCGUGCAGGAUGAAGGCCUUCGGGUUGUAAACUGCUUUUGUACGGAACGAAAAGACUCUUUCUAAUAAAGAGGGUCCAUGACGGUACCGUAAGAAUAAGCACCGGCUAACUACGUG